rnacentral:rRNA from 1 species
UACGGAGGGUGCAAGCAUUAAUCGGAAUUACUGGGCGUAAAGCGCACGUAGGUGGUUUGCUAAGUCAGCUGUGAAAUCCCCGGGCUCAACCUGGGCACUGCAGUUGAAACUGGCAAGCUAGAGUAGGGUAGAGGGGUGUGGAAUUCCAGGUGUAGCGGUGAAAUGCGUAGAUAUCUGGAGGAACACCAAUAGCGAAGGCAGCUCGCUGGGACGUUACUGACACUGAGGCGCGAAAGCGUGGGGAGCGAACAGG